GACGAACGCUGGCGGCGUGCUUAACACAUGCAAGUCGAACGAUGAAGCCCAGCUUGCUGGGUGGAUUAGUGGCGAACGGGUGAGUAACACGUGAGUAACCUGCCCCUGACUCUGGGAUAAGCGUUGGAAACGACGUCUAAUACUGGAUAUGACUACUGGUCGCAUGGCCUGGUGGUGGAAAGAUUUUUUGGUUGGGGAUGGACUCGCGGCCUAUCAGCUUGUUGGUGAGGUAAUGGCUCACCAAGGCGACGACGGGUAGCCGGCCUGAGAGGGUAACCGGCCACACUGGGACUGAGACACGGCCCAGACUCCUACGGGAGGCAGCAGUGGGGAAUAUUGCACAAUGGGCGAAAGCCUGAUGCAGCAACGCCGCGUGAGGGAUGACGGCCUUCGGGUUGUAAACCUCUUUUAGUAGGGAAGAAGCGAAAGUGACGGUACCUGCAGAAAAAGCACCGGCUAACUACGUGCCAGCAGCCGCGGUAAGAC
rnacentral:rRNA from 1 species